rnacentral:tRNA from 2 species
GCAGUCGUGUUGAAAUGGUAUCAUACCAGCCUCAUAAGCUGGAGUUGCGGUUCGAAUCCGACGACUGCC